AAAAAAUGACCUUUCGUUGAAUAAUUUUGGAGCAGAAAUAAAAGAAGGCUUGCUGCUACCAGAAAGUCAUUAAGGCAUUAGUUUCUCUAAGAAGACAGAUCUGAAGAAUGUGCAAGAAAAUGAGAAAAAAAUAAAAACAAGGUCUCUAUUGGCUUUCCUGAACGUAAGAAAAAGAAUCUUCAGAGAAAAAGGAAAGAGGAAGAGGGGAGGGGGCUCAGAAAACAAUAACAGCAGCCUAUCUACAUUGUGCUUUACAGUCUACAGUGUGCAUUCAUAUUUAACACUUUGGACUGAACAUUUGACACUUUGGAGUGAAUAGAUAUAAUUAUCCUCAGUUUACAGGUGGGAAAAUGAAGGCACAGAAAAGGUUGGCAAUAGGAUACCCUGUUAUGAGUUGUUCCAAUGGGACUGGGUCCUUCAGGGAGUGUCUGAUGAAGAAAUGAAGGCUCGGAAUGGACAAGUAACUUAUCGAAGGACACAUAGCUAAGUGGUAAUAGUUGGAUUUUGAACUUAGACCGUUUGGCACUUGAUUCUAUUUUACUACAUUACACUGCUGCCUAUUAGAAAGUUCAAUCACUGAUCAUAUUGCCUAACAAAUAAUAAAUUCAUUAUAAACAUUUAUUGAAUGAAUGAGAAUGAAUGAAUUAAUGUUGAUACGGGUUAAACUUGUAGGACAAUCUCACUAUGCUAGUAUUGUUAUAAAGAAGAAAACUAGGUAAUUAUUCAUUACACUUAAUCCAUGUUGAUGACCAGGCCAAGUCAAACACUCAUUUAUGACUCAAUAUUAUCUUCUUUUUUUGACCAGCUAUUAUAAUUACCUAAACCAUUCACUGAGAAUUUCCUAAAACAAAGCAAAAAGAAGAAGGUAUAGUAUCAGAUAAAUUUGGUAUCUAACUCAAGACCAAUAUUUCACAUUUCAAAUUAUUCCACGGACCAGUAUAAUCUAAAUUUAUUACUAAAGAUGCCAACAGACAUGGAGAAGAGAAAAAAAUUAAGAAAGUCAUAAUAUAACCACUGUCAAAGCAGAUGGGGUGGAAAGGAAUCUAGGAACUAUACAUUUGACUUUCUGGACUAAUCCAUGAGAUUAUUGUUUAGACGGAUUGCUCUAUACUGCAUAAUUCAAGUUUUACCUCAUACUAUUUGUAUGUGUUUCUCUCUGUCCAUCUGUAUUGAGUUUUCUAGUUUGACAAUGGACAUUAUUCUGGUGAGCUGGCUAAUUUCCAAGACUCCCUUUUAUUUCAUAACAGAUAGAAUUAGCCACAAUUUCUAUUUCACACUGCCUAUGUGUAGACACAGGGAUCACUCAAUUUGCAAGAAGAAAAAUAAGUUACCGUG
rnacentral:lncRNA from 10 species